rnacentral:rRNA from 1 species
CAUAGCGACUAUCGUGGCAUAUCAAUAAGCGGAGGAAAAGAAACUAACAAGGAUUCCCUUAGUAACGGCGAGUGAAGCGGGAAGAGCUCAAAUUUGAAAUCUUCAAGGUUCUACCUUGACGAAUUGUAGUUUAUAGAAGUGUUUUCUGUUAGUAGGAGUGGCAAAAGUUCUUUGGAAUAGGACAUCAUAGAGGGUGAGAAUCCCGUAUUUGGUCAUUCCUUCUAGCGUUGUGAUACACUUUCAACGAGUCGGAUUGUUUGGGAAUGCAGUCCAAAAUGGGUGGUAAAUUUCAUCUAAAGCUAAAUAUUGGCGAGAGACCGAUAGCGAACAAGUACCGUGAGGGAAAGAUGAAAAGAACUUUGAAAAGAGAGUUAAACAGUACGUGAAAUUGUCAAAAGGGAAGCGUUUGACACCAGUGUUGUUUUUCCGAAAAUCAAUUACGAAUGUUUUAGUUUUUGAGGAGUUAUGACUUCAUCGGCUUGCUCCUUUCUUUAUGAAACUUUCUUAAUGCACUUUUCGGUUAACAAGUCAACAUCAAUUUCUUUUGUUGUAAAAGGGUAUGAGGAAGGUGGCUUUCUUUUCGGAGAAAGUGUUUAUAGCCUUGUGCCUCUGCAAUCGGAGAGAUUGAGGUCUGCAGCGUAGAUCCUUCGGGGUUAGAUACGUUUGUGCUAAGUUAUAGCUUUUCAUAGACAACUUGUUGACUAUGUUUAGUCUUGUAGCUUACUCGCUGACGCUAUUUUACCUACGCUUAGGAUGUUGACGAGACUGUCGAUCUC